UUUAAGUGUAACCAUGAGUUUCCACGUUCAACUUUGAUCGCCCGUCUUAUUUAAAAUUUUUUAUAAUUAGUAUUUUUCUCUGAUAUAAUAAAAUAUGAAUAGUAUUUUACUCGUAACUUAUGUUUUUAAUUUUUUUCAAAAAAUUUUUAAAUAAGACGGACGAUCAAAGUUAGACGCGAAAAAUCAUGGCUGCACUUAGA
rfam:Oryza meridionalis cultivar OR44 (W2112) chromosome 7, whole genome shotgun sequence.